UAAUAAUAAUAAAAGGGUUUAAAAUUAGGUUAUGACACCUACUAGUAAUUAAAAAAUAUAAAAAAAAACAGAAAAAUCUUUAUUUAAUCACAGCAACACGGGAUAAUACCUGGCUAGUUAUCACUUAAUGAAAGACUGCAAGUCUACAAGAGCUGACAAUAAGAGCAAGGCUGCUACAACUGAAGGAUUUACAAUGGAAUUAGAAAUAAAAUUUAAGUCCACAUUGGCAUGGGCUUAAUCUACAAAAAUAUAGAAAAUCUACACUUGUUGACCUGCUUGCCCAUCCCUUUUUUCUACUUCUUCCUGACCUCCUAUUUGACUCUCAUUCUCACUCAUACAGUACUUCUUGAAGAAAUAACCAAAACACCUCAUCACAAAAGGCACUGAAGCCGCAAUCAAAAGAUAGCGAAAACGCACAGAUUCAUUAGGAGUAACAGCAAAAACCGCAGAUGCAUAGGUUAUCAUAAUUGAAGCUGUAGCAGCCCAUAUUUCAAGAUGGAAAGGGAACCUGUAAGUGAGAGAUGUAAUGACAAGUAUACAAGUGGAGAGAGCCAAAGUGUUUGAUAUCAAGAAAACAUAGAAAGCACGCUUUUGAGAUGCAUAAAUUGCUCUUCCUACACGAUCUCCUUCUUGCCAGACCCCUCCAGGAGGGUUCACCCCGGCCUGGAAAGUCACUGCUGCAAUCAAGGCCACAACUACUAGCAAAACAUUUCUAGCAUCGCUUGGUGAGUCUCUCACUUCAUCAUACUGAAAUUUCUUGAACCAGCCAGCACUUCUUUUAGUAUUGUUUUUUUUUAGGCUGAGACAUUUUUACUUGGGCAAAGAUAUGUGGGAGAUACCAGCACUCUGGCUCUCAAGAAGUUACUUAUAAAGAGCCUCCGUUCUAUUUGAGUCCACUUAUUUUAGUAGAUUUUUAUUUUUUUUAUAUUAGUAUACCAAUUUUUUUAUUAUUGUAUCAAUUAAAUAUUUUUGUUGUGACUUUGAUUCAAUGAAAUUGAGUUUGGGUUUUUCUUUAGAAUAAAUAAUUAUCUCUCCAUCACUAAAAUAGUUCAAUGUAGAGAUAAAUUUGAUCGAGCUUUUGGUUUUAAUUCCAUGGCUUUGGUUUGAUUUAAUUUUUGUCAUUCUUCGAAUAUCUUUGUUUCUUGAUAGAUUUUUUUGUUGAUACUGUGAUCCAAAUAAAAAUUGGAUAAAAUUUUAUUUUUUAUUUAAAAUUAAUUUUUUAUAUUUUAAAAUUUUUUAAUUUAUAUAAAAAAUAUUUUUUAAAAAAUAAAAAAAUAUUAUUUUAAUAUAUUUUUACGUAAAAAAUACUUUAAAAAAUAAUUUUUGUUUUUGUAUUUUUUUCUGGUUAUAUUAAUUUUUCAUCAAUAUUUCUAUCAUAAAUUGCUUUGUAUUUUGAAUCUUGAAGGCCUAAGAGAUGGUAGACAAAAUAGAAAAAGAGACAAGACAGUUCAAUAGAAGAAAAAGAAAGAAUAAUAGUGAAUAAUAUUUUUUUAUUUUUUGAUGUGUUAUGUCAAAAUAUUUUUUUAAAUUAAUUUUUUUUUUCAUUUUAAUAUAUUUUAAAAUAAAAACAUUUUAAAAAAUAAUCAUUAUCCACCUUUAAAUAUCAUUAAGAUGAGGCAACCCUUCUUUUGACUCGGCUAGCCUACUGUUCUGCGGGUAUAUUUUAUUGCUGCAUCAUUUUCACUAUAAUUUUCAUUAUAGUGAAAAUUCAGAAUUAUUUUAAUGGAUUCAAAUUCAACAGGGUGAUUUUUUACGGUGGAUUCAAAUUCAACAACAAGGGCU
rnacentral:lncRNA from 1 species